rnacentral:rRNA from 1 species
UACGUAGGGGGCAAGCGUUGUCCGGAUUUAUUGGGCGUAAAGAGCGUGUAGGCGGCCCUGCAGGUCCGUUGUGAAAACUCGAGGCUCAACCUCGAGACGCCGGUGGAAACCGUGUGGCUAGAGUCCGGAAGAGGAGAGUGGAAUUCCUGGUGUAGCGGUGAAAUGCGCAGAUAUCAGGAAGAACACCCGUGGCGAAGGCGGCUCUCUGGGACGUGACUGACGCUGAGACGCGAAAGCGUGGGGAGCAAACAGG